rnacentral:misc_RNA from 1 species
UCUGCGUUUUGCACAGCGGUCUCGCUAGAGAAAUCCAACUAGCGACGAGGGUUGCGCUCGUUGCGGGACUUAACCUGACACCUCACGGCACGAGCUGACGACAACCAUGCAGCACCUUGUAAAUUGUCUUGCGAAAGAUCUGUUUCCAAACCGGUCAAUCUACAUUUAAGCCUUGGUAAGGUUCCUCGCGUAUCAUCGAAUUAAACCACAUGCUCCACCGCUUGUGCGGGCCCCCGUCAAUUCCUUUGAGUUUCAGGCUUGCGCCCGUACUCCCCAGGUGGGAUACUUAUCACUUUCGCUUAGCCACUGAGGUUGCCCCCAACAGCUAGUAUCCAUCGUUUACGGCGUGGACUAC